rnacentral:rRNA from 1 species
GACGAACGCUGGCGGCGUGCUUAACACAUGCAAGUCGAACGGAAAGGCCCUGCUUUUGUGGGGUGCUCGAGUGGCGAACGGGUGAGUAACACGUGAGUAACCUGCUCUUGACUUUGGGAUAACUUCAGGAAACUGGGGCUAAUACCGGAUAGGAGCUCCUGCUGCAUGGUGGGGGUUGGAAAGUUUCGGCGGUUGGGGAUGGACUCGCGGCUUAUCAGCUUGUUGGUGGGGUAGUGGCUUACCAAGGCUUUGACGGGUAGCCGGCCUUUGAGGGUGACCGGCCUCAUGGGGACUGCGAUAGGUCGCAGACUGCUACAGGAGGCAGCAGGGGGGAAUAUUGCACAAUGGGCGGAAGCCUGCUGAAGCAACGCCGCGUGCGUGAUGACGGCCUUCGGGGUGUAAACCGCUUUCGCCUGUGACGAAGCCUGAGUGACGGUAAUGGGUAAAGAAGCACCGGCUAACUACGUG